rnacentral:sRNA from 1 species
GUUUGCACUUGUCGGGGAAGGGUGAGAACCUUCGAUUAAGGUUCUACUCGAGCGAAAGCGAGAGAACGUUGCCAACGGCAACGGCCCGUAGGGUGAGGAGCGAAGCGACGAAUAAUCCUUCCCCCACCACCA